CACACAUUUCUUCUCCCUUUCUAUAAGAUAGAGUUACUUGGUUCUGCACUCACAUCCUUCCAGCAGACGAAAUAGGCAAGUUCUUAUGAAAAUAGCAAGAAUCCAAUAUGAUGAGACUACUUUAGUGGCUGCUGCUCCUUUGAUCAAAGUCACAGUUCCAGGGGGAAAAAGAUGAAAGUGUGUGUGUGUGUGUAUUUUCCCACAUACUUACCAGUUCCAGCAUUUCAGUACUUUUCAUUCAUAUGCAUCUUGCCAUCUAGGGUGAUUUUCUACAACUUGAAGAACUUCAGCAAUUCCUAUAGUGCAGAGUAUUCCUCUGCAGUAGCAUAAUUUGGUGGUCAGUCAAGGAGACCUUGAGAUUGCAGUCAGGAUGUCCAGGAAAAAGCAGAAGUGGGACAGCCAAAAUAAUAUUGACUCUGUGAUGACCAGGAUCUCCAUUUUUCCGACCUUAGUAUCGAACUACUCUGAGGCAAGAAGUAUGUUGCUCAAUGGAAUUUAGCUCAAAAAUUCUGUCAAUACAGAUAGAAGAUAAAAUCCUCAUAAUUUUUUAUGAGUGCCAAUCAGAAUAUUUUAGAUACCAGCACACACAUCAUAGGAAAUCUUUCCCCUGGAGGAGUGAUCUUACUUCUCGUUGUUAAACUUGGGCCAGAGUCAAGAUUUCAGCUCUGUGUUUGGCUUCAUCUGUUUCCACUACAAGCAUCUUCCAGAGAGGCUCUCAACCAAAGAAGUCCUAAGGGUGAAGCGGAGAGCCUGUGAAUGAGGCAGGCAGUCUUCCAUCUUCACUGCACAUUCUCUGACUGUGAGAAGGAUGCUGACUGUUAUGAAGAACCAGAGGAGAAUCGGAAAUGUAUGUCUGGGUAGCCAGAAUGGCUGGCUCAGUGGUUUAGCACUGCCUUCAGCCCAGGGCCUGAUCCUGGAGUCCCGGAAUUGAGUCCUGCACCGGGCUUCCUGCAUGGAGCCU